rnacentral:sRNA from 1 species
CCCACGGCUUACGCCGUGGGCUACUUUCUGGCGCCCGUCGGCUGACGGGCU